UACAAGCAGGGUGAUGGAGCUCACCUCAACCGCGCACUCGGCAUGGCCCGAUCGCUGAUGGCUCCUACAGUUCU
rnacentral:ncRNA from 20 species